rnacentral:rRNA from 1 species
GUCAGCUCGUGUCGUGAGAUGUUGGGUUAAGUCCCGUAACGAGCGCAACCCUUGUCCUUAGUUACCAGCACUUCGGGUGGGCACUCUAAGGAGACUGCCGGUGACAAACCGGAGGAAGGUGGGGAUGACGUCAAGUCAUCAUGGCCCUUACGGCCAGGGCUACACACGUGCUACAAUGGUCGGUACAAAGGGUUGCCAAGCCGCGAGGUGGAGCUAAUCCCAUAAAACCGAUCGUAGUCCGGAUCGCAGUCUGCAACUCGACUGCGUGAAGUCGGAAUCGCUAGUAAUCGUGAAUCAGAAUGUCACGGU